rnacentral:rRNA from 2 species
UGGCGGCGUGCCUAAUACAUGCAAGUCGAACGAACUCUGGUAUUGAUUGGUGCUUGCAUCAUGAUUUACAUUUGAGUGAGUGGCGAACUGGUGAGUAACACGUGGGAAACCUGCCCAGAAGCGGGGGAUAACACCUGGAAACAGAUGCUAAUACCGCAUAACAACUUGGACCGCAUGGUCCGAGCUUGAAAGAUGGCUUCGGCUAUCACUUUUGGAUGGUCCCGCGGCGUAUUAGCUAGAUGGUGGGGUAACGGCUCACCAUGGCAAUGAUACGUAGCCGACCUGAGAGGGUAAUCGGCCACAUUGGGACUGAGACACGGCCCAAACUCCUACGGGAGGCAGCAGUAGGGAAUCUUCCACAAUGGACGAAAGUCUGAUGGAGCAACGCCGCGUGAGUGAAGAAGGGUUUCGGCUCGUAAAACUCUGUUGUUAAAGAAGAACAUAUCUGAGAGUAACUGUUCAGGUAUUGACGGUAUUUAACCAGAAAGCCACGGCUAACUACGUGCCAGCAGCCGCGGUAAUACGUAGGUGGCAAGCGUUGUCCGGAUUUAUUGGGCGUAAAGCGAGCGCAGGCGGUUUUUUAAGUCUGAUGUGAAAGCCUUCGGCUCAACCGAAGAAGUGCAUCGGAAACUGGGAAACUUGAGUGCAGAAGAGGACAGUGGAACUCCAUGUGUAGCGGUGAAAUGCGUAGAUAUAUGGAAGAACACCAGUGGCGAAGGCGGCUGUCUGGUCUGUAACUGACGCUGAGGCUCGAAAGUAUGGGUAGCAAACAGGAUUAGAUACCCUGGUAGUCCAUACCGUAAACGAUGAAUGCUAAGUGUUGGAGGGUUUCCGCCCUUCAGUGCUGCAGCUAACGCAUUAAGCAUUCCGCCUGGGGAGUACGGCCGCAAGGCUGAAACUCAAAGGAAUUGACGGGGGCCCGCACAAGCGGUGGAGCAUGUGGUUUAAUUCGAAGCUACGCGAAGAACCUUACCAGGUCUUGACAUACUAUGCAAAUCUAAGAGAUUAGACGUUCCCUUCGGGGACAUGGAUACAGGUGGUGCAUGGUUGUCGUCAGCUCGUGUCGUGAGAUGUUGGGUUAAGUCCCGCAACGAGCGCAACCCUUAUUAUCAGUUGCCAGCAUUAAGUUGGGCACUCUGGUGAGACUGCCGGUGACAAACCGGAGGAAGGUGGGGAUGACGUCAAAUCAUCAUGCCCCUUAUGACCUGGGCUACACACGUGCUACAAUGGAUGGUACAACGAGUUGCGAACUCGCGAGAGUAAGCUAAUCUCUUAAAGCCAUUCUCAGUUCGGAUUGUAGGCUGCAACUCGCCUACAUGAAGUCGGAAUCGCUAGUAAUCGCGGAUCA